CGGGGGUCAACGUGCCUGAUCAGGGCCGUCGUAGACUGUUGACUAGUCCCCGUGUCUCGUAGGGACGGUCUGACGGUAACGCCGCGUGGCGGUCGUUGUCAGAGUGAGGCGUGGCCUCGGGAUUCGCAGUUUGGCGGAUAUCCCCCCGCUAAAUAUAGCAGGAAGCAGCGUCCGGUAGACGCGGCUGUCGGUAUUUUGUUGAACGAUAUUGCGUUGAACAAAGUACGCAGUUUGCAAGAUGAAAGGGGGUUCCGCCGAAGAUGUGUAGCGGAAGACACCCCGCUUGCAGGAUGGCUAUGGGGAAGUUCCGCUGUCGGGGUUCCGCUCAGCGGAGACUUCCUCAGAUGGAAUAGGACAAGGGAGAAGUUCUGCUGGCGGGGUUUCGCUCAGCGGAGACUUCAUCACUUGCAAGAGGACAAGGGAGAAGUUCCGCUGGCGGGGUUUCGCCCAGCGGAGACUUCGUCACUUGGAAGAGGACAAGGGAGAAGUUCCGCUGGCGGGGUUUCGCUCAGCGGAGACUUCAUCACUUGGAGGAUGACAAGGGAGAAGUUCCGCUGGCGGGGUUUCGCCCAGCGGAGACUUCGUCACUUGGAGGAGGACCAGGGAGAAGUUCCGCUGGCGGGGUUUCGCCCAGCGGAGACUUCGUCACUUGGAGGAUGACAAGGGAGAAGUUUCCGCUGGCGGGGUUUCGCCCAGCGGAGACUUCGUCACUUGGAGGAGGACCAGGGAGAAGUUCCGCUGGCGGGGUUUCGUCCAGCGGAGACUUCGUCACUUGGAGGAUGACAAGGGAGAAGUUUCCGCUGGCGGGGUUUCGCCCAGCGGAGACUUCGUCACUUGGAGGAUGACAAGGAAGAAGUUUCCGCUGGCGGGGUUUCGCUCAGGGGAGACUCGGACGGUUGGUGUAGUUAUCGCAGUGGUUACUUCCACCAGACGCUUCGUCUAGUGGUAGUAGACACGUGUCCAACCCGCAGGGGGUUAGCGUGCGGAGGCCUAUCCCCUAAGCCUGGCCGUCUGCUUACCAUAAAUGAUAGUAAUUACGGGUUUCGAAAACGAAGCGACGCCUCGGUUAAUCCGGGUAGUAAGUGGAGGUCUGUGACACGUGUACGGCUGUCGAUUGAUGUCGUUUUGCAGCGGACGGCGGAGGAUGCGC
rnacentral:lncRNA from 1 species